GACGAACGCUGGCGGCGUGCCUAAUACAUGCAAGUCGAACGCAGUGGGGACGGGUGAGUAACACGUGGGUAACCUCCCAUCAGAGGGGAUAACACUUGGAAACAGGUGCUAAACCGAUACUGAUGGAUGGACCCGCGGUGCAUUAGCUAGUUGGUGAGGUAACGGCUCACCAAGGCCACGAUGCAUAGCCGACCUGGGAGGGGGAUCGGCCACACGUGGACUGAGAAACGGGCCAGAUCCCUACGGGAGGCAGCAGGAGGGAAUCUUCGGCAAUUGACGAAAGUCCGGCCGAGCAACGCCGCGGUAUGGAAGAAGGUUUUCGGAUCGUAAAACUCGGUUGGUAGGGAAGCGGUAUCUAACCAGAAAGCCACGGCUAACGUCGUGACAGCACCCGCGGUAAUUC
rnacentral:rRNA from 1 species